AGAGUUUGAUCAUGGCUCAGAUUGAACGCUGGCGGCAUGCUUUACACAUGCAAGUCGAACGGUAACAGGUCUUCGGAUGCUGACGAGUGGCGAACGGGUGAGUAAUACAUCGGAACGUGCCUAGUAGUGGGGGAUAACUACUCGAAAGAGUAGCUAAUACCGCAUGAGAUCUACGGAUGAAAGCAGGGGACCUUCGGGCCUUGUGCUACUAGAGCGGCUGAUGGCAGAUUAGGUAGUUGGUGGGGUAAAGGCUUACCAAGCCUGCGAUCUGUAGCUGGUCUGAGAGGACGACCAGCCACACUGGGACUGAGACACGGCCCAGACUCCUACGGGAGGCAGCAGUGGGGAAUUUUGGACAAUGGGCGAAAGCCUGAUCCAGCAAUGCCGCGUGCAGGAUGAAGGCCCUCGGGUUGUAAACUGCUUUUGUACGGAACGAAAAGCCUGGGGCUAAUAUCCCCGGGUCAUGACGGUACCGUAAGAAUAAGCACCGGCUAACUACGUGCCAGCAGCCGCGGUAAUACGUAGGGUGCAAGCGUUAAUCGGAAUU
rnacentral:rRNA from 1 species